rnacentral:rRNA from 23 species
GGUUAAGCGACUAAGCGUACACGGUGGAUGCCCUGGCAGUCAGAGGCGAUGAAGGGCGUGCUAAUCUGCGAUAAGCGCCGGUAAGGUGAUAUGAACCGUUAUAACCGGCGAUACCCGAAUGGGGAAACCCAGUGUGACUCGUCACACUAUCAUUAACUGAAUCCAUAGGUUAAUGAGCGA